rnacentral:lncRNA from 1 species
UGCCAUUGGAAGAACUCAGGCCAAGUAAAGCACCAUGUCUAGACCUUGCCACACUGGAAAGGUCCCAAGUGCUUCUGAAUAUCCAGGCCCCUUAGAUGUCAGCUCCUCUGAUCUCCCAGCCAAUGUUGUAAUGCCCUCAACAGCAUCCCCACUGCCCAGGCCACUCUGGAGCAAUUGCUCCUACAACCCAGGCAGUCCCAUCUGUUGUGGGACACUUUCAAGUGUGAGAAAGUCCUUCCUUAACUGGGGCUGGGCGCUGAUUUUUUUCUAUCAUCUGUGGCAUGGCAGCAUGCUUUGUGCACAUGUGCACAAUUUGUUACUAAAUAUGAGAAUGUAAAAUGAGCAUAGCUCUUGGCCAGCAGUCUCACUCCUAGGAAUCUAUUUUGCAGAAAAGCUGACAAGUGUAUAAAAUAUAAGUAUGAGGAUGCUCACUGAUGGCAAUAGUGCUCUUCUGGCACUGGGACCAUCUGCACAAAACUUGAGUGACCAUUAUGGGGGUGCCGUAGAGGGGAUUCCUGCAUCCACUGGACUUGAUGACCUCAAAGUGUCUCCCAAUUAUAAGCUCUGGAGUGGUUCAGCUUCAAGAAGGCAAGUGACAGCCCCUUCUAGUCUCACUUAUUUUCUUCUCUACUUCCCUGUUUCUCCUCUCGGCACAGGCCGCGGAGCUCCAUGGACAAGGGGACCAAGAUCAGGUCAGCACCAGGAGCCUUUCCACGGUCACUGAUGUGUCUGGGGCCAUGUCUCCAGCUUAUACUGGUGGGGAAGGAAACCGACAACACACUUCAUACUGUCUGCGUAGGAACACACCAUCUGUCCUAAUCCCAGCGUCUGCAGGGCCCGACCAAGGGGCAGCACCAGGAGCAGCAGUAACUCCCCAGGACAGCCUGAGUGUGGUUACAGGAGGGGAGACAAUCCGCAGACCUGUUACGGACACCACUGAAUGUCCAGAAGUGGGACCCUCCGUCUCAGCCUUUCAGAGUAAAGGCAACAUGAGCAAAUGGGAUGGAAGCCAGAGAAUCUCCCCAGUCCAGGCUGAAGCCCCAAGGAAGAGUAAGGAAAAGGCGAGAACUCCCACUAAAAGGGUUUACCGUCUCAAUAGGAUGUGGGAAGGCAAAUCAUUCCUGAAAUCACAUGGAACCCCUCAGAGAGAGAAAAGAGAGAAACAGAGCAGUCUAAAGGAGCGAGGAUAUGGAUUCCUACUCCAGGAAUACAUAAACCUCAGCUUCGCCCAAAAGAAGUCCAGGUUAUCUCAAAAAUUGAGGAGGAGCUUGUCUAGAACUAGGUCAGGUAGGGUAUCAUAAUCCAGAGAUUGGUUUCCUUGUCCCAACCACUCUCGUGCAGCUUCUCCUAGUCUCCGAGGCAACAUACUUUACCCAUUCAUGGAACUCAAGGAUAUCAACUAGAAUGAAUCUCAAAUGUCAACACAGUUCACCCACCCAUUUCAAAGAUAGGGAAACAUAAUUUUCUUAAAGUGGGUCAAUUUAUUCAUUUCUUGAAACAAUUAAAUACUUACUAUGUACCCUGUGAUAAUAACUGGUAUAUAUAAACAAUUAGGUAGUGGGGAGUACAUGCUGAGACACAGGGUAUAGCUUAUACAGUCUCAUAGCGUGGAGAUAGCUGGGUGAGUUUAGGAAGCUCACAGCUCAGUGUAAUUGGAGCAGGAGAUGCAAGGGUAAGAUGUGGUCAGGUAGUCAUGGGACUGGACCUGUAGAGAUCUGGGGGACAGAGGAGUGAUUUGACCACACCUGUGCUUAGAAUGGUCACUGUGUAAGUGAGUAUAGGACAAUUGGAAUCAGAGAAGCCAGUUAGGACUGUGGCCAUGCAGGGGAAAGAUGAUAAAAGGCCUGAACAACAUGUAGAGGGACGUGGGCAUAGACACCAUAGAACGCGGUGAAAGAUUAGAUAAAUGAGUGAGGGAUGAUAGAUAGUAUGAAAUGACACACAGGUUUUCUACUUGACAGAUAGAUGGUAGUGCUGUUCACAGAGGUAGGGAGAUACAAAAGGAUGAGCAAAUACAGUAUUAAUUAACUGAGUUUGGACAGAUCGGACUUGGUCUUUGUAUUUCAGGGUGUUCCAGUUUGAUUGGACAAUAUCUGAUGAUUCAUUUUUUUAAGAUUUAUUUAUUAAUUUUAGAGAGAGAGAGCAAGCGGGGGAGGGGCAGAGAGAGAGGGAGAGAAAAUCCCAAGCAGACUUCCCGAGGAACACGGAGCCUGACAGGUCUCUGAUCUCAUGGCCCUGAGAUUAGGACCUGAGCCAAAACCAAGAAUUGGAUGUUCAAUCUACUGAGCCACCCAGAUGCCCCUGACUCAUUAUUUUUUAAGUAAACAUUGACUUCGUGCCUACUGUGUGUCACAUUCUUUGCUCUGGACAGGGCAGGGUGAGGUCUACAGCCUGGUGAACAAAGCCCAUAGGGAGCUCAGUUUCUGUAGUGAGAUGGGUUGUAUUAAGGGUAUAAAAACUACAACAUGGAGCAGAAUUUGAGCAGUGCUUUUCCAGUACCACAUCCUAGAGGAAAAGAAGAAACAUAUUCAAGAGACCGUCACUAGUCAAGUUUGGCUGAAGUACAGUGUGCCCAUGAAGGAGACGAUAAGAUGGUUAAAAUGGGUGGGUCCAUAUUGCCACAUGCUUCAAAUACCAUGGUUAGAAGUUUGUAUUUGAUUGUAGGCCUUUUCUUCUCUUUCUUUCUUCUUUCUUUCUUUCUUUCUUUCUUUCUUUCUUUCUUUCUUUCUUUCUUUCUUUCUUUCUUUCUUCUUUCUUUCUUUCUUUCUUUCUUUCUUUCUUUCUUUCUUUCUUUCUUUCUUUCUUUCUUUCUUUCUCUCUUUUUCUUUCUUUCUUUUAAGGCAAGGAAUGGUAUGUUCAGUAGGUUUUUGGAUCAGAAUCCAUGAGUGUAUUAAGUGAGGGUAAAAAUUAAGAAUCUCUUCCUUUCCUCAUUGUCUGUGGGAUACCUUCAUUGUGUAUCAUCCUGACUCAUUUUCAGGAACUUAAAAUUGAGCCCUCCAAAUGCUUUUGUGUUCAGACCUUCAAGGCUCUCCAUAAUGCACAUACAGCCUUACAAGGUUCUGAAAGUAAAAGUUUCAGUGAGAUAGGCUCUUUACUAAGAAAUAAAGCCCACUGUAGGUAAGGUAGGAGCAGUGUGGAGGAGAGUAGCAUGGAGACUGUCAUGCAGUCAGCAGAGCAUGCUGAGGGCCUUGUCAUCACUGGUACCAUAACAUCUGUGACCAAGGAGGCCACAUCUAUAACUGUGGGAGUCCAUUAUAAGACAUACUGGGUCAUGGAAAGAAAGCUAUUUCGAGAUAGCUUCCUUUUUGCAUUGAAUAAAUAAGACUUGCCUUUUCACAAUAAAACACUAUUGUCUUUUUUCAUUUACAUGUUCCACAGUAAUGACCUCAAAAUAUUUUGUGACUUCAACUAAGCUGUAGCCCAAGACCCUAGUUUCCUGCACAACUCUACUCACACCUUUGCUCAAUGGAGCCAACAGAAGUGCUGCUCCUUGCCUUAAGCACUGUCUGCCUUUGGUUCCUUGGGCUAUACUGAAAGUCACAUGUUGUUGGCUGGGAAGCACCUCCAUUUCUCCUUCCUCAUUCUCAUCCCUCUGAAGGUCAGCUAUCAGAGAUGUUACAUCUGUUAGACUAAGGAAGAAUGGGACUUGUGUCCACUCAGGAUAUUCAUGGGUGGGGGAGGAAGAGUACAGCCACAUCUUUCAGUAAUAAGAAUAAAUACAAUCAUCUAGAGGUAGCAAUUUCACAUCUAGGUCAAUACCCUGAGGAAACUCCAACAUAUAUUCCAGAAGGAAACUAUGAGAAUUCUGAAGCAAAGCACAAGAAAUAUCUCCCAUGUUCAUCAAAUAAAGAAUUAAUAAAUUAUGGUAUAUACAUAGUGGGAUACUACACCACAUUGGCAGCUAUGCACAUUGCAAUGGAUGAAUCACACUGCUGAAUAAAAGAAGCAAGUUAAAAAUUAGAAUUUCAUUUAUAGAAUGGUUUAAAAAUGAGACCAAACAAGAGAUGACUGCAUAUUUGGUAGUUUCCCUUGAGAAAGUUAUCUCUGUGGUGGAAAAGAGGUGUCCUCUGGGAAAUAUACACAAGACGUUCAACAGUGUUGGAAAUUGUCCUAUUUCAUAAAUAAGGUUUUGGAUAUACAGGUAUUUAAUUUUUAUAUUUUAACAUUUCUGAAAGCAGGAUGAUCCCUAAGUGAUAUGGUUAUCAUCGCCUUAGAAAUAACCAAUUUAUUUUAGUAGCUUUAGUUUUCAUGUAGUUACAAGAGUAAUAUGUGUCAAAAAUUAGUCUGAAGGAUAACUUUUAAUGAGUAUGAAAUAAAAUUUGCAAU